GUAGGAGGAAGCAGUGCGGGGUGAUGGAGGAGGAGCUGGCACGAAUACUCUAUUAUACUUGAUGGUGUACAAUUGGUCAAGUGGCAGCAGAGGAGGAGCGAAGGAGGGGGAUCGGGAUGGAUGUGGCAGUGGCGGAAGAGGAGUAGGAGGAAGCAGAGGAGAGGACGGAGGAGGAGGAGGCAGAGCGGCCGGUGGUGGUGGAGGUGAGGAAUGGAUGUGGCAGCAGCGGCAAAGUGUAGAGGGAGGAAGAUAAGGGGGAAUGAGGAUUGGGUUAGGCUAAGAGUGGCGGCAUCACUAUUAGGUACGGCUAGGACUAGACAUGCGACACAUACGGCCCUUCUACUGCAUCAUUGCAGGGCAUGGCCCCCUCCUACUUGCAGAUCUGAGGGGAGGUAGGAUGGGACUGCAUUUGUGUCACCCUUAGGGUGAUUGAUCUCCAUUACCUCUAGUGGGUGUUGACUAUCUAUAGAUUUCUUCUUGUGUCAUUGAUCCAUAAGUUUUCUCUGCUAACCUAUUUGAUUGAGUUUUCUAUUUGCAUGAACCUAUUGAUCCAUCAACAACUCCAUGUCUACAGAAAUCACCGCCUCGUCUUCGAUCUCUCAGGGGUGUUGUUGACACGACUCUGUGCUCUGAGCCAAUCUAGGUGCCCGGAUACCCAGUCAUGGUCACACUGGAUUAUCAUCCUUGGACUGUUCUGCAUGACCACAAGCCGUCGCAGCCCUGAGAGGUAGCAACAUUAUGCUAAUAGAGAGCUAGAGAUAUUCCAAGACAUCCAUAUUUCAC
rnacentral:lncRNA from 1 species